AGCCAGCUUGGUCCUUGCUGU
rnacentral:misc_RNA from 1 species